AGAACGAACGCUGGCGGCAUGCCUAAUACAUGCAAGUCGAACGAAGGCUUCGGCCUUAGUGGCGCACGGGUGCGUAACGCGUGGGAAUCUGCCCCUUGGUUCGGAAUAACAGUUGGAAACGACUGCUAAUACCGGAUGAUGACGAAAGUCCAAAGAUUUAUCGCCAAGGGAUGAGCCCGCGUAGGAUUAGCUAGUUGGUGAGGUAAAGGCUCACCAAGGCGACGAUCCUUAGCUGGUCUGAGAGGAUGAUCAGCCACACUGGGACUGAGACACGG
rnacentral:rRNA from 1 species